rnacentral:lncRNA from 1 species
AAAACACAAAGUAUGGGUGAAGUCCAUAUGUGAUAGCAAAUUGAGUUGAUUACAUGUGAAAUGUCAUGUGCAGACUGCCCAUGUUUAUAUAACCUGCCUUGAUCAGCUAUGUCCACUGCAUAGAAGAAGAUCCUGCUUUCCCGUACAUACAAGAAACCCUCACCAUUCACAGAAAGAAGAGUAAGAAUACAGCUAGUACACAGAUUAAUUGCAGUUAGCAGACAGAUUGGACAGCUUUGCAUGAAAUCCUUGAAAUUACACAUGGAAGUGAUGGUAACAGUCGCAAAACUUUGA